GGUGAUUUUUGGGCUAAGAACAAGUGAUGAAAUCCCGACCUUAUCUUUUUAAAUGGGUUCAGCCCUUAGAAUAUUUUAUGCUGAUGCCUUAUACUAUAUGCAACAAUAAAGAGUUUUUUUUUAAUGUUUUAUGAUAUGUCAUUAAAUUUCAUUGAAUAGGUGAUCAAGCAAAUUAUUUAUUUAUUUUUUUAAAAAAAAUUUAUGAGUUGAAGUUUGAAAUUUGAAUUCUGAAAUUUGAAAUUUGAAAUUUUAGAUUUUUUCUCUUUUUUUUUAAUUUUUGAAUAAUCAUCCUUGAUCUUUUCUUAAAGUUUUUUUUUCUUAAAUUUUCAAUUAGCAACAAGGGUUAAUUUGAUAUAAUAACAAUAAAAUUCUGAUUCUAAAAUAAUUAAAUGCAGAAAAUUCAAAACAGAAAGCAGCAAAGUUUCGUAUUAAUAUAAUGGUCUUAAAGAAUUUUCAAUCAGAUUUCAAAUUUGAGUUCAAUCAGACGGUUAAUUACUUUGAUAUCAGAGUUUGAUGCGGAAGAGGCGUACGGCUGGAUGAGGCUGUGGCUC
rnacentral:lncRNA from 1 species